rnacentral:lncRNA from 1 species
GGCGAGGCUUCUAGAACGCUUGCAUAAAGAGUCUGAGUCCAGAGCAGGAAGUUCACACAGAGAUUUUCAUAUUUGCUGCUAGUCCUUAAAUUCUUCCUGUUAGUGAAAUGCCAGCGAUCUUUUAAAGCUGGGGGAAGGGGGAGGGAAAGCCGCAGAGUGCUUGACCUGAGUGAGAGCCAGGCCACAGCCACACGGAAAAUUACCCCGAGCCGUGUUUACAGGCGACCAGACGGGCAGGGCGUCCCGGACUGUGGACCUGAGGUCAUUAGACCACGUGCUCCCUCCCUGAACAGGGGUACAAGGGCAAAGGCUGGAAGGCCUUUAGAGACACCUCCGUAUCCCCUUAUUUAACAAAUGGGGAAACUGAGGCACACAAUGGAGAGUUGAUGUGCCCUCUCAGUGACCCCCUUACCUUUGCUAACUCAGCUCGGACUCUGGUCUCAGGAUUCUCCCUCCAGAUGCCGGCUCAGCUAUGAAACGGCCCUGAGACCCUGGGCGAGUGACUGAAGGCUGCUCUGAGGCUCGGCUGCUCGUCUGUAACGGGACAGACAGAGGACCUGCCUCGCAGGGCGACUGUGUCAAAGGUCAGCAAAGCCAGCCAUGAGUCAAAGUGGUGAAAACAGAUGGUGCUCAGCCUCUUCUGCCGACAGAGGCAGGAGCGGAGAGCUCAGCCCUGUGCACAGGUGCCGGUGAUUCAGAGGGAGGACGAGGGAGACGCCCGGAUCAAAGGAAAACUCACAGGGGCUUUUGGAUGUUGCUGCCACAGCAUGGCUUGAUGAGGGUGUAAGUUGGUGCCUGGGAUCCAAACCCAUGACCCUGGGCUGCUGAAGCAGAGUGCACGAAACUUCAGCCACUCAGCCACGGGGCCAGCCCUACAAACAAUCUUUGAAUGGCCAGAGGCCUCCUCUCCACCAGGAGUGAGGUGGUAAGGGCAAGAAGGGAAGAAAUGACACUUGGUUAAGGAGCCACUGCUCAGGCGUGUCCACGGCCACCUCCAGUUCUCUUGGGCAGCCUAACAUCGGUCACAGUGGGCCCGCCUUCCUCCCUCUCUUCUGGGACCAGCCCACCCCAUCCCAGCUUCUCUGCCUGAAGCCAGCGGGUCAGUGAGGACGAGUGAGGACCCCAGACCCAGCUUGCCCACCGGUUUGUUAUGGGCUGCAGACUCUGGGUUCAAGGAGGGAAGUCAAAGGACUUUCCUUUUUACCUAACGUGUUUUAUCAGAAGUUUUGCAAGCUGGGGUUAUUGAAUAGUUUCCAGUCAUUAAUAAAGCUAACGUUUUAUUCUC